GUGCCAGCGAGCCGCGGUAAUACCGGCAGCCCGAGUGAUGGCCGCUCUUAUUGGGCCUAAAGGGUCCGUAGCCGGCCGGGCAAGUCCGUCGGGAAAUCCACCCACUUAACGGGUGGGCGACCGGCGGAAACUGCUCGGCUUGGGACCGGAGGACCCGAGGGGUACGUCCAGGGUAGGAGUGAAAUCCUGUAAUCCUGGACGGACCGCCGGUGGCGAAAGCGCCUCGGGAGGACGGAUCCGACGGUGAGGGACGAAAGCCAGGGUCUCGAACCGGAUUAGAAACCCUUGUAGUCC
rnacentral:rRNA from 1 species